rnacentral:rRNA from 1 species
UACGUAGGGGGCUAGCGUUGUCCGGAAUCAUUGGGCGUAAAGAGCGCGUAGGCGGCCAGAUAAGUCCGGUGUGAAAGUCAAAGGCUCAACCUUUGAAUGCCGCUGGAAACUGUCUGGCUAGAGUCCGGGAGGGGCGAGUGGAAUUCCUGGUGUAGCGGUGGAAUGCGCAGAUAUCAGGAGGAACACCAAUGGCGAAGGCAGCUCGCUGGGACGGUACUGACGCUGAGGCGCGAAAGCCAGGGGAGCAAACGGG